CUUGCCCGGGGACUGUCGGGGGUCGCCCGGGCGGUUGGGAACGAGAGGAGCCUGGGCCGGGUCACUGGGCUCGUGCCGGCCGAGGUCGUGUUUUGGGGUCUGCAAGAGCCAGAAAAUGUCUGCAGAGCCCCUGACUCUUUUGUGGAGGUCUAAAGACUCUUUUGGGAAUUCUAAAGGGGAGCGGGAGGAGACUGGAAGGUGAGGGCAGAGUGGCCUGAAGCCCUGUAGUGAAGGGGGACGAGGAGCCAGAGCAUCUGUGGCAUUUCUUUAGUCUUCAGUAAAGAUCUUCAGUGAGUUACCAACCAUGGGAGUCAGGAUAUGAGCAGCCUCCAAAGUCUGUAAAGAUUUGUGUGUGAGGUUGAGAGGAGUCACCUUGUGUAUCUCAUUAUCUUACCCUGGCUGGAAUAUCUGCUAGGAGGCAGAAGAGCCCUCCCAGGCACAUCACCUGCUGAAUUUAACAAACACAUGUGAAUAACAAAGAUGGACCAGAAAUAUUGUCACUUCUAAAAGCAUUCUUUUAUACUAACUAUAGUAAAAAUAGCCAUAUAUAAAAGGGAAUCUUUGGACAGUGCUGUUUCAAUAGAGGCCUUCAAAAAAAACCCAUUCCUAUGUGAUGGAAGAGAAAUGCUCAAAAAUCCCUUCAGGAAUACCUACAAUUCCUUAUGGAUACCUAAUGAAAAUAUAUUAGAAUUGAGCAAGUAGCAAAAAAAGCUUGAUGAACUGACUGUAACAAAAUAUCCAGUGAUGAAAAGUUCUGCAGACUUUUCUUACCAGCUCUGGCAAGUAAGUAGUUUUGCUAAAUAGAAGGAAAGCAGAAGAUACAGCUAUCAACUGCAAACGAAUGAUUAUAAACCAGAAAGAAAAUGUGAGGAAGAGCUCUGAAAAUUAUGAUUGACAGUGACAACACAGACCAGACAGCUUUUAUUUUAAGCAACAGAUUGUUGGGAACAUACACCGUAUAUCAAAGUGAAGGACUUGAAACCUGCUGUAGUCUGUACAGAUGUUCUCACUCAGAAAGCAGCUAGAGGGAACAGAAGAUAAAAGAAGGCUGUACAACUUCAAAAAAGGUUUGAAUUUUCAUUCUGUUUUGACAAGUUUUUAUGCUACUCUCUGAUUUUCAGUGUGGUAGAAAAUUCAGCAUCUACAAACCUGACCUAAAGUGAGAAACACCUGAAGGGGUACGAGCAAACCCUUAAGAAGGUGCUAUACAACAUCAUGAAAUAGUUUUUGUUGUUUUACUCUUAAAUGCUUUUAUACAAAAAUUGGAAAUGCUGUAAUUGUUGUAGCUCUGGAGCAGGUCAUACAUGCUUGCAGUCAGCAGUACCUGGAAUGCAAGGCUGAGAUCUAAGAGGCCAUUUAGGAAUCCCUGCUGCAGAAAAUACUUUUUUAUGAUACAAAGCAAGGCAGGAUUACUGAGCUCAGAGGGGUUAUUUGUGAAUAACUUCCAGCUAAAGUGAUUAAGGGCUUCAGCCACUAGCCCCAGAAAAAGCCAACAAAGAGCAUCAAAAACAUCCUGCAUGUCAUUGCUGCUGGCUUUUUGUUCAAUGAGCAAGAGGUCUGUGUUGGUUUUGGUCCUUUGCCCUUGGGGGCACUUUUAACAAAACAUAAUACUUGAAAGAAUUCCAAAAUGUGUUUGUUUUUUUGUUUUUUUUUUUUUUCUUAUUUUCUUUGAACUAGAAGGUUAAAGAUAAAUAAAGGAGUAUUUUGAUAUGUCUGACAAAUA